AUGCGCUGGUUAGUACUUUGGGAAGGAUUUGGGGUCCGUUCAAGGGGAUCGAGUGUAAAGAUCUUGAAAUUCAACUCGGCCAAGACCCUGGAUGAAUAUAAAUUCAGGUACAUACCAAUAUGGGUUAGAGUUUAUCAUAUUGCUAUGGGGUGGAUGAGUAGAGAAUCUGGUGAAGAAAUAGGAAAAGAAAUAGGCAAAGUACUUGACGUAGAUGUCGAUGAUUGCGACAUGGCCAUGGGGGAGUACAUGAGAAUCAAAGUUUGA
rnacentral:rRNA from 1 species